UUUGGGACAUGAUGAUACCAAAAUUGAUUAUCCGAGGCAGCAGCCCUGCUGAAUUAUAUAUUUUGCACGUCAGUCUGAUCCCAAA